rnacentral:lncRNA from 10 species
CACAGAAGCAAAUAACCCUUUUAGGGGCUUCAUACCCCCUAGUCCUGGGUAAGUUAUGCUACAGUUGAAAUCUGAACAUUGAGCAGGAGUUAGCCAGCGGGGAGGAGAGGAUGGGAGAAUAUCCCAGGGAGAGGGAGCUUCCAGGAUCAGAGGUUGGAGGGAGGAUGAGGGAGCUUAAGGAGUCUCAGACCUCAGAGAUGUCUACACUGGCAGAGCCCCAGAGCCCAAGGCCAAGCCAUAGACUGGCAGCUAGGAAGUGAAUCACACACUCCCAGAGCCUUCGGAGCCAGAAGAACACUGAGCUGGUUCCUGGGACGGAUGCAGCACAAAGGGGCUUUUCAGGGCCUCCUGUUGAACGAAGUGUUCUGUUCCCAUCGAAGCUUUGAAAGACGUGGGGAGAAAACAAACCCAGAGUGACUAAGAAGUGCUGCUUCUCAGGGAUGGGCAGAUAGACGCCCUGCAACGUCCCGGGACAGGCCUGCCGUGGGAUAGGGAGGCUGCCCUUGGCAUGGGCUGCCAUCAUGUACCCAGCACCUUUGGUAAAUUAUCGCUGUUGGGCUUAUAGCUAGAAAACCUGAAAGGAGACGUGAGUCACUGGACAUGUUGAGACACACAUUGGUCCAAAUGUACCAGAAGAUACAGAUCCUCCUCUUUCCAGCACCCAGAGAGGACCAGAAAGGCUCAGCCUGGCAUUAAUACGUGCCUUUCACGCUGCUCCCUGAUCUUCCUCUGUUCUUACCUUUGAACUUUUAAAAAUUGAACUUCUCAUUUUGAGAUAAUUAUAGAUUCACAAGCAAUUAUAAGAAAUAAUAUAGAGAGACCUUAAGUCUCUUUACCUAUUUUCCUCUAAUGGUAACAUCUUGCAAAAUAAGUUAUUCUCUCUCCUUUUAAAAUAAAGAUAUUUGGCUGCUUUGUGAAGGCAAAGUGGGAACAGAGAGACUGCUGAGAGGUGACUGUGAUUGGGCAGAGAUUUGGACCAGGAGAGAGCAUGAGAGGAUGCUGGACCAUGCUGCCAUUCUGGGGGAAAGGUGGAGUGUGAAAUGAGCUGACAGAAGAGACCAACAUGGAGAGCCUCACCCCCACGGCCCACAGCAGACACAUCACAGAGUUACCAGGAAUUCCAGAAAGGAAGUCAAGUGAUGAAAGACUGAAGGAUGGGAACCCUGGGAGGACUGCUCCCUAAGGGAAGCUGGGUGGAAAGUUCUCACGGAGUCCAGCCCCGUUCCGCCUGCUCUGCCCUGGGGGUCUCCCAGCCCCUGUCCCUCCGCGAAUUGAGGAGCGGUCCUAAUUGCCAGUUGCCUUAAAGAGUUUGGGGAAACUGAAGACUGGGGUCCUUUAUAGGCAGGUUCUGGAUCAAGAGGGGUGGGGAGAGGCCCUGCAUUUGGAUUCCUGAAAUCCACAGAAAACCCUGCCCUUACACUACUUUAUUUUAAAGGUUUUGUUUUUUUUUAAAUUACAAAAGUAAAACAAGCGUGCUGUAAAAAUAGCAUAAACAUGUACAGUGCAUAGGCUGGGCUCGGUGGCUCAUGUCUGUAAUCUCAGCACUUUGGGAGGCCGAGGAAAGUGGAUCA